UUCAACAUGGUGGAGAGAAAGGCACCUCGUGGGCCACACUCAGCAUGGCGGCUGGCCCCAUUGUCGCGACCGCCACCCAGCAGAGCGAGAAAAGAGCGAGCCGCGCGGACUCGCACAAUCAACAUGGCGGAGAGCGGAGGCAUGGGGUAAAAUCUGUCCAAAGUAGUCAUGGCUCGAGAACGAAAAUGUAUACUGUGUCACAUUGUGUACAGUUCAAAGAAGGAGAUGGAUGAACACAUGAGAAGCAUGCUUCACCACAGAGAACUUGAAAACUUGAAAGGAAGAUUCCUUGGCUGCCUAUAAAGAAACUUCAGUUCAGAAACACAUCAACUCGGUGGGUGCGCAUAUUGCCGUAAUUCCAGGUGGACUGACCUGCAACUUGCUACUCCUUAAUGUGGCUGCCAACCACGUGUUCAAGUGCUUCCUCCAAGAGGAAUGGGACAAUUGGAUGACAAAUGGGGAACACACUUUCACUCCAGCAGGUCGACAGUGCCAUGCAACUUAUAUGGAAGUUUGUAAAUGGGUUUUGGCUGCUCGGGACAGAAUAAAAGAGGCUACUAUUCAGAAUGGGUUCUGUAAAUGUGAAAUUCUUCCCGACAUUGACUCGUCUAGCUCCGAAUCUGACUCCGACAGCGAUUCUGAUUCGGCACCACAGACCUCAACUGUCACCAUAACCAAGGCUAGGCGAGCUUCGGAUUGAACGGAUUUUUUCAAGACCGCGACAAUGCAAAAGUUUUGAUGGUUUUGAAAACUCAGAUACUGUGGAGGAGGAUGCUACCGCUGAUUCUAGUGAUGCAGAAGGAAUGAACUUAUGUAUUUUAUGACAGUGUGAGCAGAUGGCUUUUUAAAAACUGUUUUACCAUAUAUCUAUUCUUUUAUUAUUAGUUUCACAUUAAAGUUUUAACUUUUAAUGUAUUUUAACAUCACUGCCACUAUUAUUAAAUUAAAAUAUGCUGCUUUUAUCAAGUAAGAGUCAGUCUUGUCUUCCUGUAAUUUCAAUAAAAAAGAACUUGUAUAACACACGGAUAAGUAUAGCCCCCGGGGCAGGGAUUGUAAAACGUUUCAUAACGCACAGGUUAUAUACGCUAAAAGAUGGUAAGUAUUCCUGGCAAUUCACUGUUAGCAAAGUCAAGAGAGUGAGCUGGAUUCUAUACCUGCCUAUGCAUCAAUAAAAUUGUUAACCAACUUUGAGUUAGUUAAACUUGAGCUAAGCAACCGAAGGUGUAUAAUACAGUUGUUAUACACAGGGGUGGCCUGUGGAUGUAGGCAACCUCGGCAGUUUCCUAGGGAACCGCGUUUAACUCGACGCCCAAUGAUGACGUCACGCCAUUGAGGG